rnacentral:lncRNA from 1 species
AUGGACCGCAUGCUGAGGCUGUUCAUCAGAAAUUCUCCCACCUCCGGCUUCACUGAGCUGCAGGACAUCUUGCAGGUCUGCCACUUGCCAAGAGCAGUGUUCCCAGGGGCGCUUCCUCACCCAGAGGGAAUUCAGCAUCCACUGCGGAACGGACAGACCCUACUUCAGUGCCAUGCACAGGCAGCACAGGGCAGGAAGGGUGCCCGCCUCCCUUGGGGGAACCGGGGGCUGCCCACUGAGGUCUUCUGGCAGCCCCAUAUCCCACGGGGCUGCUGCUUGCCGAGCCUCAGGGCUUCUGGAAGGUGGAAGGCAGUCCUCAUGGCAGGGACCGAAACCCCGCAGCGCUGCGUCCUCCUCCCUGAGCCCCGCACAGCCCUGAGCCCCUCGAGGUCCUGCUGCCGGCCGUGGGUCUCCCCUCUCACACUCCCCGUUGGUCUCUCUGCCACCCGGCUGCCAGGAUAAAGACCUGAAGAUGAAGUUCCUAAGGAGCAUCAGCAGCGUGUGCAGAACUGCCAGAAACUGCGGCCUGUGGUGCGGCCUCGAUGCCUUCUGCAACAAAUACGAGCUGGCAGAGCAUAUUAAGGUGAUGCGGCACCCACUGGAGGCUCUGGGAGGGGUGCAAGGGCGGGCUGUGGGGACGGGACUCUCGAGGGCUUUGGCCGGGGCCUCCUCCCUGAGGCCCUGAGCCCCUCGAGGCUUUGGUCCUGCUGCCGGCCAUGGGUCUCUCUACCGCCGUAGCCCUGCUCCAUGGCGGCCGCCCUCCGCCCGCGGCACCGCUCCGCCUCCCGGGCGCUCAGUGCGCAGCCGCGCGGCGCCCGCCUCCCAUUGGGCCCCGCCGGCCCCUUCGGCCCGCCCACGAAGCGCUGCUAUUGGCCGCCAUCCGCGUCGGCCGCCAUUGGCUGAGCUCGCCCCGAGGCCCUGAUCCCAUUGGAGCGCGCGGCCCGCCCCUCGCCGGCUUCCCCGCGAUCCGAUUGGUGGAGGCGCCUCCUGCGGUCCCGCCCCUUCGGCCCUUCUGUGGUCACGCCUCUCCGCUGUCAAUCACAGCCGGACCCGAUUCUGAGUGGGCAGCGGCGCGGGGCGCAUUGUGGGGGCCGGAGCAGAGCGGUCGCCAUGGAGACGGGGCCUGGUCCCGCUCUGCGAGCCUGACCCCCGGCCCCUGAGCUCUUCUUGACCUUUACCAGUGACCCCGGCCCCAAAUGAGACCCCCCAAGGCGUCCCCAUUGACUCCCCAGUCAGUAGGAUUGGAAAGGACGAAUGUUUAUUCAGCGCAGGGCAGAGCGGGGGAUAGUCCCACCAAAGACGUGCGCACCCGACGUGGCAACUUGCCUUGCUUAUCUGCAGCAAAGAGUUACAUGGGCCUGAAGUUUCACAACGCGCCCGUACAUAUUCAUAGCCUGUCCCCGCUUCGUCUUAAAAUUAGUCCCAAGCAGUCAUUUCCGGAAACUCCUCCCAUUUGCGCUUGCGCAGUGUGUCUUGGUGGCACACACGUGGUGGCACGCACCACGGUUAGCAAAGACACUGAGUAGCAUCCGAGCUUAAUGCCGUCAGCGCUCUAUCUCGACUCGAAGAGAUUCCCCCACCUCCCUCUCUCCAAGCUGCCCCUGUGCCCCUGCAGGGGACACCCGGCCCUCCCUGAGUCGGCAGCGGGUCACAGAAGGGCCCUUUGUGACAUCAUCUGGGCACUCCCCACUGCUGCGUAUAAAAGCCAGAGCAGCCAGCCCCGGCCACCCAGUGUCCGGCACGGCUGUGACGGGACAGGGCAGGAGCACGAGGCUGCGGAGCAGUCCCCGAGCAUAGCCCGCGUCUUCAUACAGCGCCGAGCCAUUUCUGUGAGAUUGCCUCUUCUCUACCCUCAGCCCGUAGUAUGGAGGAGAGACGACCACCCAGUAGCCCCAUGCUGGCCUGGGUGGAGGCCGAGGCUCGUCAGGAGAACACAGCUCCUAGUGAACACCAUGAGCACGUCAUGGAGCUGCUGUUGAACGGUGAGCGAGGGCUCCCGUCAGGGGGAGCAGGGCUGGGGCUAGGGAGCGGGGGGGCCAGCAAGAACACCCUGCUCAGCGUCAGGACCAGCAUGGCAGCCCAGCCCCCGGACACCCCCAGGGAGGUUGUGCCAGGGGAGCAAGCACGGGGCUGGAGGGAGGCCAGAGCUCCUUCCUCUCCUCCCUCCUGCCUUUGGCCACCCUCUACAACCCUCCUUCUUCUCCUGCCUUCUUAGAAGCUGGCAGCUUAGCUGUCUACAAGAAAGAAGAGGAGAGCUUGUACAGCAUUCUUUCCUUCGUCAGCAGCACGCAACAGGUAGGUGUGGCCUUGCCAUGGUGGCUGUGCCUGUGUCUCCUGAGGGUCGCACAGCUCUGCUGCCAGGAUGCUGGCGGGCUGCUGGCGAGGCAGAGCUGCCGCCCUCCAGGAGCCCCGCACAGCCCUGAGCCCCUCGAGGCUUUGGUCCUGCUGCCGGCCAUGGGUCUCCCCUC